UUCGCGAUGGUGCUCUGUCCAGUUUGAGGUGAGACUCACUGGCUGGAGUGUUGACGGAAAUCUCUAUGGGAAGCACACUUGGGUUAUUUGAUCAGUUCGCCAAUAGCGGGGAAACAAAAUGCCUCCGCCAGACAGGUCCAAAUAAUGACACCUCAAAAGAUACGUCUCAAUGAACAUAAUACAAGAUACAAUACUACCGAGAGGUUGCUCGCAUUGUCCAUGAUCACCACCCCACAUAGAGAAGUUGGAAACUUGGAAUGACAAGCCAACUUUGCAGCACACGGAAACUAUUACUCAGUUCAUUAUGUGGAUGCCAAAGGAUCAGGAAGGAGCAUGUUAUUGAAACAUCGAGCAGUGACUUUCAUCAUCAAGGCUGCAAUGCUGAAGGCACUCAACUCAAAAUGGCAGUGGGAAGGAAUGUGUGGAGGACGUUGAGGGACUGACAGGUGGCUUUAUAUGCGUUCAUAGUUUUCAUGACGAUCAAGGUGAUGCCCUUGUAUGUCUACGUGGUAAGAUAUUACAUUGGGCUUGUUACUGUUUUUAGUGGUAUCAGUGGGCUUGUAUUGCUAUGUAUUGGGUCAGUUAAGAGUCUUUCAUUACCUAAAAUGUUCUUCUGAUCUGGAUUACUCUUAAAUCUAGAAAUGGCUACUUUCAAAUUUUAACUGUCCUAAUGAUUUAAUCCUAUUAAGUGUCCCAAAUACAUGGUUUUUAUAAUUUCCUUCUAAAACCGUUUUGAUAAUAGAUUGACCUCCACAUGUGAGAGGAUCAAAAUUUCACGUAAUAUCAUAAAGGCUGGGCUCACAAUAGGUAAGCUUUUAAUUAGUCUUUUGUGAUGAUUCUUUCAUGUUCAAUGUAGAUAUUUGGUGCCUAUGUUUUCAAAGGUUGGACUAUUAAUAUUUUUCAAUGAUGGUGCAUGCCAGCCAAGUUUAGUUUAAGCAAGUAAAUGUAUGUUUGAAUAUUGACAGUGCAAUGGUUGAUUAUUUACCAACUGAAUUUCUAUUUUUCACCAUGGUGGGAUUUUGUGACACAGCAUAUGCAUUUGUGUAUGUUCUUGUGGAAAAACUAGAUGACUGCAAUGAGAUACAGUUAAGUUCUAAUUGCUAGAAAACCCGACAGGUUGAUUGACAGGCUAAUUUGCAAAACAGAAGUUUCUGCUAUCAAUGCUAAUUUGCUAAUUUGUAUAGUAGUUAAGUAGAUCAUUACUGUGAUACCAGCUCUAUCCAUUUCCGUUUGGGACAUAAAAUACCUUUGGGGCUCUGAACUGGCUCACUGUCGAGUAAAACUAAUAACAAUAACCUUGGAUAAAUAUGAUUAACUGAUAUUUUCUCGACACGGUAAUAUGAGAGUACCAUAGUCAUCACCCAUCAUUAUGGGCUUCACUCUUUUAUUUUGCGAACUCUGCAGACUGUCGUUAUAUUGCAAGGUAGUGAGGAUACAAGCUAUGGUUGUAGUCACAAAAUGAAUGAUCAUGGUCAAGAGUCACAAAACUCUAUUAUACUGUCAUUUUGAUGGUGGAUAACGCACCAUCUAGAUCUAGAGCAGCUGGUCAAGGAAGCCACAGAGCUAGGAGUUUAAGAAGUUGAGAAGACUUUCGUUUAUUGAAAAUGAUUACUCACGUAUGUAUAUUGUCAUAAUAACUAAUUUUAUGUUAAAAAUUAGGCUGCUCAGGCCCAUGGCAAUUAAUCUGCAUUCUGCAAUAGAACUUGCUGGUGUCUGUUUUUUUGCCUUUUCCCUUCAAACGACUUAGGCCCCAGAAUGUGACAAUAUCCACUGGUAUAUCUGUUUACUAUUUUCGUAGUCAAUAUAUCUUUUUUACCUUUUUAUUUUGAACCCUGCUUGCCUCCCAUUGUGAUUUGUAGCAUGAAGGAUGAGAUUGACCAGCACUACGUAAGCAACAUUAUUGUUCGGAUAUAUAGGUUGCGAAUGACAGUGCUAUAAUUUUAAAAUAACAUCUCAAAUGACAGCAGAUAAUCUGCACUGAAGAGGGUGCCCAAACUGCGGGUCCUGUCAGCUAUGUCACGCAGCCCCUGAGACAAAUACUGAUCUCUUUGUCCACUACAGUUUCACCUCCCAGGUCUGGCAACUAAUCAGAGCAUGGUCAGCGGCAGAUUUUCCUAUUCCAGGCUCUUACUUUCUCUCAACAGAAGAUUGGUGGACAAAAGUCAGGAAGAGGGUGCCGAAGAUCAACACUCAACAUGUGUGAUUUUGACACAAUUUCUAUACUGGUACACUGGAAGAUUUGGAAGGAGAGUAAUUCUAGAAGUUCUGAGGAGAGUAAUUCUAGAAGUUCUGAGAACUUACAACAUUAGGCAGAGGAUGUCUUUGUCGCGUUUAGGGAGGAGAUAGCUAUGUGGCGAUCGGCUGGAAGAGUGAGUUCUCUCUAGCUGACCUGCCGGUGCGUGGAGUUAAGGCAUACUGUGCUCUUUGUCGAUCCAGCGCAUAUCUAUCAUCUACUCCUUGUUUUGCUCCACCUCGGAGCUGUUGUAACACCUCUAUACUCUCCUUAAACUUAAUAAAGUUCGUCCUAUGGCCUUUCAACAUA